rfam:Gossypium raimondii Chr09_contig_99, whole genome shotgun sequence.
CAGUGUGAUGGAAAACAGGGGAAGCCGCACCGGACUGACUUGAGAAAGAUGUUCCAAAAGAACGUCCGCUACUGUCUGGAA